AUUGAACGCUGGCGGAAUGCUUUACACAUGCAAGUCGAGCGGCAGCGCGGGGGCAACCCUGGCGGCGAGCGGCGAACGGGUGAGUAAUAUAUCGGAACGUACCCCGUCGUGGGGGAUAACACAGCGAAAGCUGUGCUAAUACCGCAUACGACCUGAGGGUGAAAGCGGGGGAUCGCAAGACCUCGCGCGAUGGGAGCGGCCGAUAUCGGAUUAGCUUGUUGGUGAGGUAAAGGCUCACCAAGGCGACGGUCCGUAGCUGGUCUGAGAGGACGACCAGCCACACUGGAACUGAGACACGGUCCAGACUCCUACGGGAGGCAGCAGUGGGGAAUUUUGGACAAUGGGGGCGAACCCUGAUCCAGCCAUUCCGCGUGAGUG
rnacentral:rRNA from 1 species